UUGCUCCCUGAUGUUAGCGGCGGACGGGUGAGUAACACGUGGGUAACCUGCCUGUAAGACUGGGAUAACUCCGGGAAACCGGGGCUAAUACCGGAUGGUUGUUUGAACCGCAUGGUUCAAACAUAAAAGGUGGCUUCGGCUACCACUUACAGAUGGACCCGCGGCGCAUUAGCUAGUUGGUGAGGUAACGGCUCACCAAGGCAACGAUGCGUAGCCGACCUGAGAGGGUGAUCGGCCACACUGGGACUGAGACACGGCCCAGACUCCUACGGGAGGCAGCAGUAGGGAAUCUUCCGCAAUGGACGAAAGUCUGACGGAGCAACGCCGCGUGAGUGAUGAAGGUUUUCGGAUCGUAAAGCUCUGUUGUUAGGGAAGAACAAGUACCGUUCGAAUAGGGCGGUACCUUGACGGUACCUAACCAGAAAGCCACGGCUAACUACGUGCCAGCAGCCGCGGUAAUACGUAGGUGGCAAGCGUUGUCCGGAAUUAUUGGGCGUAAAGGGCUCGCAGGCGGUUUCUUAAGUCUGAUGUGAAAGCCCCCGGCUCAACCGGGGAGGGUCAUUGGAAACUGGGGAACUUGAGUGCAGAAGAGGAGAGUGGAAUUCCACGUGUAGCGGUGAAAUGCGUAGAGAUGUGGAGGAACACCAGUGGCGAAGGCGACUCUCUGGUCUGUAACUGACGCUGAGGAGCGAAAGCGUGGGGAGCGAACAGGAUUAGAUACCCUGGUAGUCCACGCCGUAAACGAUGAGUGCUAAGUGUUAGGGGGUUUCCGCCCCUUAGUGCUGCAGCUAACGCAUUAAGCACUCCGCCUGGGGAGUACGGUCGCAAGACUGAAACUCAAAG
rnacentral:rRNA from 1 species